rnacentral:rRNA from 1 species
AUUGAACGCUGGCGGCAGGCCUAACACAUGCAAGUCGAGCGAGCGGCGGACGGGUGAGUAAUGUAUGGGGACUGCCCGAUAGAGGGGGAUAACUACUGGAAACGGUAGCUAAUACCGCAUACUAUCGGAUAACCUACAAGGGAUUAGCUAGUAGGUGAGGUAAUGGCUCACGUAGGCGACGAUCCCUAGCUGGUCUGAAAGGAUGAUCAGCCACAGUGGAACAUGGACACGGCCCAGACUCCUACGGAGGCAGGAGUGGGGAAUUUUGCACAAUGGGCGCAACCCUGAUGCAGCCAUGCCGCGUGUAUGAUGAAGGCCCUAGGGUUGUAAAGUACUUUCAGUCGGGUGGCGUUACCGACAGAAGAAGCACCGGCUAACUCCGUGCCAGCAGCCGCGGUAAUUC